UAAAAAGCUUCUUUGAUUUUCUCUUAUAUAUGUUAACUGCUUCUGUUUUCUAAGGUUUUUUGUCUCACCUAUUCGGUUUUCAGAAAAAUUGUCUCUUUUGUUUUGGUCAAGGAUCUUUGGGAUUUCUCAAAAAGGUAUUGAUAAUUAAGAAGCAAAGGUACGUAUAUUAGGUAAGAAAUUAGAAGAUUUUAUGAUGUAUAGGAUAACCAAUGGAUUUUUAUUUGAAGAAUUAAAGUUUUGGAAAUAAUUUAGAGGAUGUGAAAUCCGGUGACCAGGUUAUUUUGAAGCUGUUCACUUUGAUGUCAAGUUCGUAUGCUGGUGUUCCUCCGGUGCUGGAAGACACCAUGGAUCAGCCUGGAUAUGAAUCUCCACGAUCUUCUUUUGGAUAUGUCCACUUCGUUGUUUCGUUGAUCAUCGCCAUGUUCUAGCAAACAUGUCAUCGGGUGAAUACGAAAGAGUAGGUUGGAUGUGUGUAAACCCUAAGUUUUUAUGAACCGGUUGGAUAGGAAGCACUCGAAUCCCAAAAGUUCAGUAGAUGUUAAAGGAUUUCUUCGAUGGCAAGGAACCCAACAAAGGAACUAACCCUGAUGAGGUUUUGGCCUAUACAACCGCCGUCCAAGGUGGAGUAUUAAGUGGUGAAGGUGGAGAAGAAACGCAAAGUAAGUGACUCUUUUUAACUCUCUUUAUGACAAUAGUUUAGACCAUCUAUAGUGUUUUCAUGUUAGUCAUGUAUUUGAGUUGCAGAAAACCUAAAUUUAUUGAAAACAAAUAUUUUGCUACUUGAUGUUGCGCCUUUGCACCUCGGUAUUGACACUGUCGGAGGCGUGAUGACAAACAUUAUUCCUCGGAUCCCAACGAAGAAGUCUCAGGUGUUCACUACUUACCAAGAUCAGCAAACUACUGUUACUAUCAACGUCUAUGAAGAGAUAAGCAUGACGAAAGAUAACCCCGAGCUCGGAAAUUUCCAGCUCACCGGCCUUCUUCCUGCACCUAGGUAAACUCUCUAAUUCAAUAUUGGCUACUAAACCAUUUCGGUUCUUGGUUUUUUAAAGACGCAAGGAACAGUUUUUCAUGGGGGUGCCACAGAUGGAGGUGACUUUCGAAGUGGACGCAAAUGGGAUUCUGCAAGUGAACACCGAAGACAAAGUUCCAAAGAUGUCACAGUCAAUUACAAUAACGAACGAUAAAGGUCGUUUGACAGGAGAAGAGAUUGAUGAAAUGAUUAUAUUAAUUAGCUACGUAUGAA